GAGUGCUGGGAAGACAGGUCUGUGCCACCAUCCCCAGCUUAAAAUACCAUUUCUGAAGACACAGAGUAACUCAGAAAACUGGACUUUAUAUUUCUUUUACUUAUUAUAUCUACAUUUUGAUUACAAACAUGCAAGAAAAAAAAAGAAAGGAAGUAGGAGAGGAGGGAACCUGCUUAUACAAAAGAGUUGAAAGAGGAAUAGCUUGUUAAACUUCAGAUGGGCAGGGACUCUGAGAGUUUCUCGUCUCCCCUCAUGCUGCUAUAAUGUUAAUACCACAUAAAUGGGGAUGAACUAUCGUGUCACAAUGAAAAUAAAACAUCAGUUUGCCACUAUGCAGACAUAAAUAUCACUAAAACCAUCAUAAUAAAUAACAAAUCCCAGAAACAAUGGCUUCUGCUUGCUGUACCCCAAAAAGUAGGCUCCUGAGGAACAACUAGAAUCCCCCAGGCACGGUGGGGGUCUGGGGCCCAGGGACAUCACACAACAUGACACCCAGCACCCCUGUUCCCACCACACAGGGAGCAGGUGUCUGCCCCCACUGCACCCCUCCCUGGCAUGACCAUCAUGUACCCAACCCAAGGGUCCCCAUGCACAGCCCACACUGGAAAUGGAAAUGGACUUCAACCCAGUGACAGGGACAUGCAGAUCAGGGCAACACCCAGCCAGGAAGUGGCAAGGACUCCAAUGGAAAACAUCUAGAUCCCAAGCCCCACGCAGCCUUGAUGCACACAGGCCACCUUGUGCUGGGCUGACACACAAGGUUCUGGGUGGUGCUGUCACACCCAUCACAUCUGCGCCUUGUGCAUCUCAAAUUCUGUCUCAAAGCAAUCACAGGCGAGGCUGGGGUGGAGCUGCGGAGGCUUCGGCCAGGCAACUGCUAUGCUCUUCUGUUGCCAUGACAACAAGCCACAUCACAAUCUCAAACACACCCUUGAGCCACAGUCACUCUGUCAUAGCCCUCCAUUUCCAGGCACUGGCAGACGAUGAUAGAGGGACAAAGACUUGCAUGCUGGGAAUACACUGCUGAAUGUGUUCGUUCAUUCAAUGUUGGGACUUUGAGCGUUCAUCUCCCGGACGUGAACCAGGGAUCCUAACCAGAAACAUUUGCUGCAUGGCAAGGGGGAGGUGCUAGGUCUUCAUUUUCAGCAGCAAUUCCAAAUAACAGGCCUAAAUGAGCCAGGAUCAUGGAACUGAGCUGAGAGAGGCAAGGACUGUGGCAACAAAGAUGCCCUGCAGCCCCUGGGAACACAGCAGGUGAAUCUGUGCUGGUGCCCAGAGCAGCUGUAGGCCGCUCACACUGCAUCCUCAGGGUGGAGAGGUGGGGACAGCAGCUAGGGUGACUAGGGCAUGCUGAGGUGAGAGCCAAGUGGGGAGAGCCUUGAUCCAAUAGGAUGAAAACCUCACACAAGCCAGGUGCAGUGACACAUGCCUGGAAUUCCAAGUUGACAAGAGAAUCACGAGUUGAAGCCCAGCCUGGGCAGCUUAGGAAGCCCCUGUCUCAGAAUAAAAAAAUAAAAAGAUCUAGGGAUGUAGCUCAGUGUGAAGGCCUCAGGAGAGGAAGGAAGGAAGGAAGGGAGAAAGAAAGGGAAAGAAAACCUCACACAUAAACCUAGACUUCCCAGAGAAACCAGGAUGCCUGGGAGAAAGGUCUGUUUGAGCAAAUGAAUGGAAUUUUUGCUUAAUUGAACUUAAACUGAAUUUAACUUAAAAUUCAUAUGAACUAAAAUUAACCAUUAACCUUUUGAGGUGGGAGAUUGAACCCAGGACCUUCAUACCUGAGCUACACCCCCAGCCCUUCUUUUAUCUUUUAUUUUGAGACAAGGUCUGGCCAAGCUGCCCAGGCCAGGUGUAAACUUGCAAUCUUCCUGCCUCAGCCUCCCAGAGUGCUAGGAUUACAGCUCCAAGACAUCCUUGACACCAAAAGGCAUCCUAGACCAUCAGAGAGCAAGCCCAUCUCCCACUCAGCCCUGGCAGCCCCUGCUCUGCUGUCUGUUCUGGACCAGGCACGGAUCACAUGUGGCCUAUGUGUCUGGCAUCGCUUACUCUGUGCCCUGUCUGUGCCUUGCUCCUCCGGCAGCUGAGUGACCAUCCCGUUCCUCAAGGUCUGUUUGCACACCCGUUUCCAGCUCUGGGGGUUGUUUCCAGAAUGGAGCUGCUGGAUAACAUGGUAACCGAGUGCUGAACUUUCCAAGGAACAUCCAGACUCUUCUGCAUUGUGGCCAUACUAUUUCACACUUCCAACAGCCACCCAUGAGAACCCUGGUCUCUCCACAUCCACGCCAACGCUUGCUAUUUUCUGUUUCAUCCCUAACACAUCCAAUAUGAGUUGAGCUGUGUACAUGCUGACUUUGGGAGGAGAGCAAGACCCUGACUCAGGAACAUCCCACAGAGAACUGGACUCCAGGGCCUGGGAAGACAAGAGGUCCUGUCCCACAGAGCAUGCCUAAAAGAUGAGGCUGUCAUCUGCAGCCAGCAGAGCUCAGCAAGGGAGAAAGCAGAAAGAGGGGCAUGGGGUUUCCUCUCCUAAUGCCAUGCUCCAAGCAGUGUGUCUGGUGAACUACUUCAUAUGCGCCAAAGCCCAGUACAGUGCCACUUCCAGCAAAAAGCUUUCCCUCCCCCUCUCAUAUCCAAAGCAUCUAGUUCAAGUGAUUUGUGCCACAAGCACUUUACCCACUUGAUGGUUACCCCUGCCCAUCACAGAGAUGUACAGAUGUGCUGAAAAAACUGAGUAAAAAGAUGGGGGAUGCAGACUCAUGUCCUAGUGUUAUACAAUAUGUCAUGUCUCAGCUAUUCCCUCCAGUCAGCUACUUUCUCAGCUCAGCUCAGCUCUCACCA